AAAUUAAACAAGGGGAGCUCGCACCAAGAGCUGAGAAAGAGAUAUUAUCGCUGACCCUCAUAACCUGAUUUGGGUAAUUCCAACGUAGGGAGUUUAUUACAAUGUUU
rnacentral:ncRNA from 2 species